GUGGAGGUAAAGAGGUAUGGGACUGUAGGUGGAGGUAAAGAGGUAUGUGACUGGAGGUGGAGGUAUGGGACUGUAGGUGGAGGUAUAGAGGUAUGGGACUGUGGGUGGAGGUAAAGUGGUAUGGGAAUGUAGGUUGAGGUAAAGAUGUAUGGGACUGUAGGUGGAGUUAUGUGACUGUAGGUGGAGGUAAAGAUGUAUGGGACUGUAGGUGGAGGUAAAGAGGUAAGUGACUGUAGGUGGAGUGAAAGAGGUAUCUGACUGUAGGUGGAGGUAUGGGAUUGUAGGUAGAGGUAUAGAGGUAUGGGACUGUAGGUGGAGGUAUGGGACUGUAGGUGGAGGUAUAGAGGUAUGGGACUGUAGGCGGAGGUAUAGAGGUAUGGGACUGUAGGUGGAGGUAAAGAGGUAUGGGACUGUAGGUGGAGGUA
ensembl:lncRNA